rnacentral:rRNA from 1 species
AUUGAACGCUGGCGGCAGGCCUAACACAUGCAAGUCGAGCGGGGUUUUCGGACCUAGCGGCGGACGGGUGAGUAAUGCGUAGGAAGCUACCCGAUAGAGGGGGACACCAGUUGGAAACGACUGUUAAUACCGCAUAAUGUCUACGGACCAAAGUGUGGGACCUUCGGGCCACAUGCUAUCGGAUGCGCCUACGUGGGAUUAGCUAGUAGGUGAGGUAAUGGCUCACCAAGGCGACGAUCCCUAGCUGGUUUGAGAGGAUGAUCAGCCACACUGGAACUGAGGCACGGGCCAGACUGCUACGGGAGGCAGCGGUGGGGAAUAUUGGACAAUGGGCGGAAGCCUGAUCCAGCCAUGCCGCGUGUGUGAAGAAGGCCUUCGGGUUGUAAAGCACUUUCAGUAGGGAGGAAGGGUUAAGUGUUAAUAGUACUUAACUUUGACGUUACCUGCAGAAGAAGCACCGGCUAACUCUGUGCCAGCCGCCGCAGUAAAAC